rnacentral:rRNA from 1 species
AACGAACGCUGGCGGCAGGCUUAACACAUGCAAGUCGAACGCCCCGCAAGGGGAGUGGCAGACGGGUGAGUAACACGUGGGAACAUGCCCAAAGGUACGGAAUAUUCUCGGGAAACUGGGAGCAAUACCGUAUGUGCCCGAAAGGGGAAAGAUUUAUCGCCUUUGGAUUGGCCCGCGUCAGAUUAGGUAGUUGGUGGGGUAAUGGCCUACCAAGCCGACGAUCUGUAGCUGGUCUGAGAGGACGACCAGCCACACUGGGACUGGGACACGGCCCAGACUCCUACGGGAGGCAGCAGUGGGGAAUCUUGGACAAUGGGCGCAAGCCUGAUCCAGCCAUGCCGCGUGGAUGAUGAAGGCCCUAGGGUUGUAAAAUCCUUUCGUUGGGGACGAUAAUGACGGUACCCAAAGAAGAAGCUCCGGCUAACUUCGUGCCAGCCGCCGCCGUAACAC